CAAGAGCGUAUAUUAAAGUUGUUGCAGUUAAAAAGCUCGUAGUUGGAUUUCUGGUACAAUGCGCCUGGCCCGCGACCGUUAGGUCUGUGAGUGCCGGUGCGCGUUUGCCAUCCUUCUAGAAAACGUUUCUACCCUUCACUGGGCCGGACUCGCGAUCUAGAUCUUUUACUUUGAAAAAAUUAGAGUGUUUAAAGCAGGCUUUUGCUGUGAAUACAUUAGCAUGGAAUAAUAAUCUAGGACUUCGGUUCUAUUUUGUUGGUUUCUAGUACUGAAGUAAUGAUUGAUAGGGAUAGUUGGGGGUGCUAGUAUUGGCCGGCCAGAGGUGAAAUUCUUGGAUUCGUUGAAGACGAACUUAUGCGAAAGCAUUCACCAAGGAUGUCUUCUUUAA
rnacentral:rRNA from 1 species